rnacentral:rRNA from 1 species
GAUGAACGCUAGCUACAGGCUUAACACAUGCAAGUCGAGGGGCAGCAUGGUCUUAGCUUGCUAAGGCCGAUGGCGACCGGCGCACGGGUGAGUAACACGUAUCCAACCUGCCGUCUACUCUUGGACAGCCUUCUGAAAGGAAGAUUAAUACAAGAUGGCAUCAUGAGUCCGCAUGUUCACAUGAUUAAAGGUAUUCCGGUAGACGAUGGGGAUGCGUUCCAUUAGAUAGUAGGCGGGGUAACGGCCCACCUAGUCUUCGAUGGAUAGGGGUUCUGAGAGGAAGGUCCCCCACAUUGGAACUGAGACACGGUCCAAACUCCUACGGGAGGCAGCAGUGAGGAAUAUUGGUCAAUGGGCGAGAGCCUGAACCAGCCAAGUAGCGUGAAGGAUGACUGCCCUAUGGGUUGUAAACUUCUUUUAUAAAGGAAUAAAGUCGGGUAUGGAUACCCGUUUGCAUGUACUUUAUGAAUAAGGAUCGGCUAACUCCGUGCCAGCAGCCGCGGUAAUACGGAGGAUCCGAGCGUUAUCCGGAUUUAUUGGGUUUAAAGGGAGCGUAGAUGGAUGUUUAAGUCAGUUGUGAAAGUUUGCGGCUCAACCGUAAAAUUGCAGUUGAUACUGGAUAUCUUGAGUGCAGUUGAGGCAGGCGGAAUUCGUGGUGUAGCGGUGAAAUGCUUAGAUAUCACGAAGAACUCCGAUUGCGAAGGCAGCCUGCUAAGCUGCAACUGACAUUGAGGCUCGAAAGUGUGGGUAUCAAACAGGAUUAGAUACCCUGGUAGUCCACACGGUAAACGAUGAAUACUCGCUGUUUGCGAUAUACUGCAAGCGGCCAAGCGAAAGCGUUAAGUAUUCCACCUGGGGAGUACGCCGGCAACGGUGAAACUCAAAGGAAUUGACGGGGGCCCGCACAAGCGGAGGAACAUGUGGUUUAAUUCGAUGAUACGCGAGGAACCUUACCCGGGCUUAAAUUGCAGAUGAAUUACGGUGAAAGCCGUAAGCCGCAAGGCAUCUGUGAAGGUGCUGCAUGGUUGUCGUCAGCUCGUGCCGUGAGGUGUCGGCUUAAGUGCCAUAACGAGCGCAACCCUUGUUGUCAGUUACUAACAGGUUCCGCUGAGGACUCUGACAAGACUGCCAUCGUAAGAUGUGAGGAAGGUGGGGAUGACGUCAAAUCAGCACGGCCCUUACGUCCGGGGCUACACACGUGUUACAAUGGGGGGUACAGAGGGCCGCUACCACGCGAGUGGAUGCCAAUCCCCAAAACCUCUCUCAGUUCGGACUGGAGUCUGCAACCCGACUCCACGAAGCUGGAUUCGCUAGUAAUCGCGCAUCAGCCACGGCGCGGUGAAUACGUUCCCGGGCCUUGUACACACCGCCCGUCAAGCCAUGGGAGCCGGGGGUACCUGAAGUGCGUAACCGCGAGGAGCGCCCUAGGGUAAAACUGGUGACU